rnacentral:rRNA from 1 species
UACAGAGGUCUCAAGCGUUGUUCGGAUUCAUUGGGCGUAAAGGGUGCGUAGGUGGCGCUGUAAGUCGGGUGUGAAAUUUCGGAGCUUAACUCCGAAACUGCAUUCGAUACUGCGGUGCUUGAGGACUGUAGAGGAGACUGGAAUUCAUGGUGUAGCAGUGAAAUGCGUAGAGAUCAUGAGGAAGACCAGUGGCGAAGGCGGGUCUCUGGACAGUUCCUGACACUGAGGCACGAAGGCCAGGGGAGCAAACGGG